AAUUCUCAACCAUCCCUCGAUUCGUUUCGAGGUUUGGCUUGGAUUUUGGGGGCUGCCGGCGACCCUCGGGUCUUCGGCUCUCCUUAAAAGCAUUAGCGAUGGCGGCGCGAUCUGACCAUGCAUGAACGGCCCUCGACGUGAUAAUGAUCGUCGUGGCUGGAGUGCUAGUGGGCGUCGUGAAGUCAGUGCUUCUAAAUCGUCGUCGAAAGGCGAAACUUGAA
rnacentral:misc_RNA from 1 species